UCUAGUUUGACUUGUGUCUAGAAAAGGGGGCAGAAAUUCUUUUUCCUCCCUCUUACUCUUGGGCUGGUGUCAUGAUUUAACUACAGUAUGAAUGAAAUAAGAGUGUUGUGGGCAAACCCGAGAUCCCAACCAUCAUUUAUAAUGUUUCAACAGGAAAUCUUUUCUGAGUUCCAAAUAACAGGCUUCAGUGAUCUUUUGGAAGAGGAUCCAUGUUUGCUGCAACAACAACCUGGAUCAUAAGGAUUCCUCAUUGAUAAAGAUUAGUUUUUACAAUCUUCCCUGAAUUUCCAGGAAUUUAGCAGACAAUAUUUAAUGAGCAGUCCCGUAUAUCUCCUUGAACUUCGUCACAGCAUUUUUGUAGGACAAGUAUCUAUGUGUGAAGUUGCUGGGUCAAAGUGUUUAUUUUUUGAGAGAGAUAAGAGUGUGAGUGGGG